rnacentral:rRNA from 1 species
GAUGAGCGCUGGCGGCGUGCCUAAUACAUGCAAGUCGAGCGAACAGACGAGGAGCUUGCUCCUCUGACGUUAGCGGCGGACGGGUGAGUAACACGUGGAUAACCUACCUAUAAGACUGGGAUAACUUCGGGAAACCGGAGCUAAUACCGGAUAAUAUAUUGAACCGCAUGGUUCAAUAGUGAAAGACGGUUUUGCUGUCACUUAUAGGUGGAUCCGCGCCGCAUUAGCUAGUUGGUAAGGUAACGGCUUACCAAGGCAACGAUGCGUAGCCGACCUGAGAGGGGGAUCGGCCACACUGGACAUGAGACACGGCCCAGACCCCUAGGGGAGGCAGCAGUAGGGAAUCUUCCGCAAUGGGCGAAAGCCUGACGGAGCAACGCCGCGGGGGGGAUGAAGGUCUUCGGAUCGUAAAACUUUUUUAUUGGGGAAGAAAAAAUGUGUAAGUAACUAUGCACGUCUUAACGGUACCUAAUCAGAAAGCCACGGCGAACUACGU